rnacentral:lncRNA from 1 species
GCGGACUAGUAGCUGAGGCGGCACGGGAGUGUAGGCGCGCGGGGUCGUUGCCGGGGGCACAGAGUGAGAACAAGCAAGGGAGCCCUGCUGAAUUGCAGCUUAGGAAGCCCUGAAUCCUGGAGACGGAGUUUUGCUCUUGUUGCCCAGGCUGGAGUCCAAUGAUGCGAUCUCGGCUCACCGCAACCUCCGCCUUCAGGGUUCAAGCAAUUCUCCUGCCUCAGCCUCCCGAGUAGCUGGGAUUACAGCAGUGAAGGCAGUGAGGGGCUGUGGUGUGAUCCAGGAGGCUGAGAAUUAUGCAGUGGGUGCUGUCACCUUGAAGACAUCAGCGUGAUCAGGCAGAUCAUCAUGGUAGUAAAAUAGAUUAAAAAUUGCUCUAAGAGGCCAUUUUAUUAAAUAGAAGUGAUUUACCACUGAGCAGGAGAUAUCCCAGUUGUGGUGGCUGGAAGAGAAAUUUUCUAAGCAAAGAUGAGAAAAAGCAAAUGGCUGGUGCUGACGGAUCUUUCCAAGCAGUGCUAUGUGGCUUCUGUACGCUUCUGCAGACACUGCAUCUGUAUUCCUGUAGUGAGUGAUUCUGACAUGGCACACAUGCAUAUCAACACAGAUUUCCCUGAAGUACACACUUCACAGGGUUUCAAUGACUGAGAGUUUUUGUCAGUGUCAUUUUUAAAAGAAAGUGGAGAAGGACCUUCACGUUGUGCACAUGUACCCUAGAACUUAAAGUAUAAUAAUAAAAAAAAAGAAAGUGGACGUUCACU